rnacentral:rRNA from 1 species
UGGGGAAUAUUGGACAAUGGGCGCAAGCCUGAUCCAGCCAUGCCGCGUGGAUGAUGAAGGCCCUAGGGUUGUAAAGCACUUUCGACGGGGACGAUGAUGACGGUACCCGUAGAAGAAGCCCCGGCUAACUUCGUGCCAGCAGCCGCGGUAAUACGAAGGGGGCUAGCGUUGCUCGGAAUGACUGGGCGUAAAGGGCGCGUAGGCGGAUUGUACAGUCAGAUGUGAAAUUCCUGGGCUUAACCUGGGGGCUGCAUUUGAUACGUGCGAUCUUGAGUUCGGAAGAGGGUCGUGGAAUUCCCAGUGUAGAGGUGAAAUUCGUAGAUAUUGGGAAGAACACCGGUGGCGAAGGCGGCGACCUGGUCCUGGACUGACGCUGAGGCGCGAAAGCGUGGGGAGCAAACAGGAUUAGAUACCCUGGUAGUCCACGCUGUAAACGAUGUGUGCUGGAUGUUGGGUGACCUAGUCACUCAGUGUCGUAGCUAACGCGAUAAG